UUUCCGUAGGUGAACCUGCGGAAGGAUCAUUACAGAGUUCAUGCCCUCACGGGUAGAUCUCCCACCCUUGAAUAUUUAUACCUUAGUUGCUUUGGCAGGCCGUGGAAACACCAUGGGCUCCGGCUUAUGCGUGCCUGCCAGAGGAAACAAACUCUGUUUUUAGUGAUGUCUGAGUACUAUAUAAUAGUUACAACUUUCAACAACGGAUCUCUUGGUUCUG
rnacentral:misc_RNA from 1 species